rnacentral:rRNA from 1 species
UACGUAGGGGGCAAGCGUUAUCCGGAUUUACUGGGUGUAAAGGGAGCGUAGACGGCAGCGCAAGUCUGGAGUGAAAUGCCGGGGCCCAACCCCGGAACUGCUUUGGAAACUGUGCAGCUCGAGUGCAGGAGAGGUAAGCGGAAUUCCUAGUGUAGCGGUGAAAUGCGUAGAUAUUAGGAGGAACCCCAGUGGCGAAGGCGGCUUACUGGACUGUAACUGACGUUGAGGCUCGAAAGCGUAGGGAGCAAACAGG